GACGAACGCUGGCGGCGUGCCUAAUACAUGCAAGUAGAACGCUGAAGGAGGAGCUUGCUUCUCCGGAUGAGUUGCGAACGGGUGAGUAACGCGUAGGUAACCUGCCUGGUAGCGGGGGAUAACUAUUGGAAACGAUAGCUAAUACCGCAUAAGAGUAGAUGUCGCAUGACAUUUGCUUAAAAGGUGCAACUGCACCACUACCAGAUGGACCUGCGUUGUAUUAGCUAGUUGGUGAGGUAACGGCUCACCAAGGCAACGAUACAUAGCCGACCUGAGAGGGUGAUCGGCCACACUGGGACGGAGACACGGCCCAGACGCCUACGGGAGGCAGCAGUAGGGAAUCUUCGGCAAUGGACGGAAGUCUGACCGAGCAACGCCGCGUGAGUGAAGAAGGUUGUCGGAUCGUAAAGCUCUGUUGUAAGAGAAGAACGAGUGUGAGAGUGGAAAGUUCACACUGUGACGGUAUCUUACCAGAAAGGGACGGCUAACUACGUG
rnacentral:rRNA from 1 species